GACGAACGCUGGCGGCGUGCUUAACACAUGCAAGUCGAACGAUGACGACCGAGCUUGCUCGGUCUGAUUAGUGGCGAACGGGUGAGUAACACGUGAGCAACCUGCCCUUCACUCUGGGAUAACCUCGGGAAAUCGGGGCUAAUACCGGAUAUGAGCUCCUGUCGCAUGGCGGGUGUUGGAAAGUUUUUCGGUGAAGGAUGGGCUCGCGGCCUAUCAGUUUGUUGGUGAGGUAGUGGCUCACCAAGGCGAUGACGGGCAGCCGGCCUGAGAGGGCGACCGGCCCCAGGGGGCUGGGGAAAGGGCCCGGCCCCCACCGGGAGGAAGGGGUGGGGAAUUUUCACAAAUGGGCGAAGGCCGGGUGCGGCGACGCCGGGGGGGGGAUUACGGCUUUGGGGUUGGAACCCUUUUUCAGGAGGGAAGAAGCAAAAGGAACGGAACCUGCAAAAGAAGCGCCGGCAAACUACGG
rnacentral:rRNA from 1 species